CAUAAUUUCUGUGUCCAACAUUUAACUGUCCGUCUUAUUUAAAAAAAUUAAAAAGACAAGUCGCACAUAAAAUAUUAAUCAUAUUUUAUCACCUAACAACAAUAAAAAUACGAAUUAUAAAAAAAAUUUCAUAUAAGACGGACAGUCAAAAUUGGACACGGAAAUUCAGGGUUUUACCAUUU
rnacentral:pre_miRNA from 1 species